rnacentral:sRNA from 11 species
AUGGAGCUUUGUUGGCUCACAACCAUCCAUGGUUCUUGAAGAAGCUUGGAGAGAAAGGGGUGUGAGAGGAGAGGGUGCUCACUCCUCACACUCCCUCACUUAAAACAGUUUGUUUUGGCUUAGCUUUGGCUUCUCUGAUCAACAAGGGAUGUGUUCUAACAUUCUUUCUUGAGUGGCGGAAGCAGAUACACAUUCUCCGACGGAGGAGAGGCUUGGCUACAGCCUGGCAAACCGGCAAGUCACAAAAAAGGCAAUGGACUCCAUUGGGGUCUC